rfam:Bombyx mori DNA, contig: Bm_scaf4_contig4129, strain: p50T/Dazao, build 2, whole genome shotgun sequence.
UUAGCUCAUAUUUGUAUGGAAUAGGAUCGUUUGCGUACGUUUGCCGCUAGGGGCGCUGUUCCAACUGCAUACAAAAUUGAGUUA